AUUCUGUAGCAAGGUUAACCGAAUAGGGGAGCCGAAGGGAAACCGAGUCUUAACUGGGCGUUAAGUUGCAGGGUAUAGACCCGAAACCCGGUGAUCUAGCCAUGGGCAGGUUGAAGGUUGGGUAACACUAACUGGAGGACCGAACCGACUAAUGUUGAAAAAUUAGCGGAUGACUUGUGGCUGGGGGUGAAAGGCCAAUCAAACCGGGAGAUAGCUGGUUCUCCCCGAAAGCUAUUUAGGUAGCGCCUCGUGAAUUCAUCUCCGGGGGUAGAGCACUGUUUCGGCAAGGGGGUCAUCCCGACUUACCAACCCGAUGCAAACUGCGAAUACCGGAGAAUGUUAUCACGGGAGACACACGGCGGGUGCUAACGUCCGUCGUGAAGAGGGAAACAACCCAGACCGCCAGCUAAGGUCCCAAAGUCAUGGUUAAGUGGGAAACGAUGUGGGAAGGCCCAGACAGCCAGGAUGUUGGCUUAGAAGCAGCCAUCAUUUAAAGAAAGCGUAAUAGCUCACUGGUCGAGUCGGCCUGCGCGGAAGAUGUAACGGGGCUAAACCAUGCACCGAAGCUGCGGCAGCGACACUGUGUGUUGUUGGGUAGGGGAGCGUUCUGUAAGCCUGUGAAGGUGUACUGUGAGGUAUGCUGGAGGUAUCAGAAGUGCGAAUGCUGACAUAAGUAACGAUAAAGCGGGUGAAAAGCCCGCUCGCCGGAAGACCAAGGGUUCCUGUCCAACGUUAAUCGGGGCAGGGUGAGUCGACCCCUAAGGCGAGGCCGAAAGGCGUAGUCGAUGGGAAACAGGUUAAUAUUCCUGUACUUGGUGUUACUGCGAAGGGGGGACGGAGAAGGCUAUGUUGGCCGGGCGACGGUUGUCCCGGUUUAAGCGUGUAGGCUGGUUUUCCAGGCAAAUCCGGAAAAUCAAGGCUGAGGCGUGAUGACGAGGCACUACGGUGCUGAAGCAACAAAUGCCCUGCUUCCAGGAAAAGCCUCUAAGCAUCAGGUAACAUCAAAUCGUACCCCAAACCGACACAGGUGGUCAGGUAGAGAAUACCAAGGCGCUUGAGAGAACUCGGGUGAAGGAACUAGGCAAAAUGGUGCCGUAACUUCGGGAGAAGGCACGCUGAUAUGUAGGUGAAGUCCCUCGCGGAUGGAGCUGAAAUCAGUCGAAGAUACCAGCUGGCUGCAACUGUUUAUUAAAAACACAGCACUGUGCAAACACGAAAGUGGACGUAUACGGUGUGACGCCUGCCCGGUGCCGGAAGGUUAAUUGAUGGGGUCAGCGCAAGCGAAGCUCUUGAUCGAAGCCCCGGUAAACGGCGGCCGUAACUAUAACGGUCCUAAGGUAGCGAAAUUCCUUGUCGGGUAAGUUCCGACCUGCACGAAUGGCGUAAUGAUGGCCAGGCUGUCUCCACCCGAGACUCAGUGAAAUUGAACUCGCUGUGAAGAUGCAGUGUACCCGCGGCAAGACGGAAAGACCCCGUGAACCUUUACUAUAGCUUGACACUGAACAUUGAGCCUUGAUGUGUAGGAUAGGUGGGAGGCUUUGAAGUGUGGACGCCAGUCUGCAUGGAGCCGACCUUGAAAUACCACCCUUUAAUGUUUGAUGUUCUAACGUGGACCCGUGAUCCGGGUUGCGGACAGUGUCUGGUGGGUAGUUUGACUGGGGCGGUCUCCUCCUAAAGAGUAACGGAGGAGCACGAAGGUUGGCUAAUCCUGGUCGGACAUCAGGAGGUUAGUGCAAUGGCAUAAGCCAGCUUGACUGCGAGCGUGACGGCGCGAGCAGGUGCGAAAGCAGGUCAUAGUGAUCCGGUGGUUCUGAAUGGAAGGGCCAUCGCUCAACGGAUAAAAGGUACUCCGGGGAUAACAGGCUGAUACCGCCCAAGAGUUCAUAUCGACGGCGGUGUUUGGCACCUCGAUGUCGGCUCAUCACAUCCUGGGGCUGAAGUAGGUCCCAAGGGUAUGGCUGUUCGCCAUUUAAAGUGGUACGCGAGCUGGGUUUAGAACGUCGUGAGACAGUUCGGUCCCUAUCUGCCGUGGGCGCUGGAGAACUGAGGGGGGCUGCUCCUAGUACGAGAGGACCGGAGUGGACGCAUCACUGGUGUUCGGGUUGUCAUGCCAAUGGCACUGCCCGGUAGCUAAAUGCGGAAGAGAUAAGUGCUGAAAGCAUCUAAGCACGAAACUUGCCCCGAGAUGAGUUCUCCCUGACCCUUUAAGGGUCCUGAAGGAACGUUGAAGACGACGACGUUGAUAGGCCGGGUGUGUAAGCGCAGCGAUGCGUUGAGCUAACCGGUACUAAUGAACCGUGAGGCUUAACCUUACAACGCCGAAGGUGUUU
rnacentral:rRNA from 1 species